UUUUAAUAUAUCUAGUUUUUUAAGAAAUUAAUUUAAUUUAGAUAUUUAAUUUUAAUAUUUUUAUUUUUUAAAAAAUUUAUAAAUAUAUAUUAAUAUUUUAAGGGAUGAGCUUUAAAAUAAAAUUAUAUAAAUGAUUUUGUUAAUUAAUAAUUGUAAGCUUAGAAUUAGUUAUCAAUAGAAAUUAUGUUUUAAUUUAUUUUAAAUUUAAUAUUAUUUAAUAUUUAUUUUAUAUUUUUUUUAUUAAAUUAUAAAUUUUAAUUUUAUAAAUUUAUUAAUAAUGAUAAAAUUAGUAAAUAUAUUAAUUAUAUAAAUAUGUUAUUUAUAAUGUUUGGUUUUUAUAAUUAAUUCGGCAAAUUUUGUGUUCACCUGUUUAUCAAAAACAUGUCUUUUUAGUAUUAUAUAUAAAGUCUAGCCUGCCCACUGAUUAAUCUUUAAAGGGCCGCAGUAUUUUGACUGUGCAAAGGUAGCAUAAUCAUUAGUCUUUUAAUUGGAGGCUGGUAUGAAUGGUUGGAUGAAAUACAAGCUGUGUCAUAAAAAUUAGUAUUUGAAUUUAACUUUUUAGUCAAAAGGCUAAAAUAAUUUUGAAAGACGAGAAGACCCUAUAGAGCUUUAUAUAAUGAUUAUUUAAAUUAUUAAGAUUUAUUAAAUUUAAUUUUUUUAUUUUAUUUUGUUGGGGUGACAAUAAAAUUAAUAUAACUUUUAUUUUUAUUUUACAUUAAUUUAUGAGUAUAUGAUCCAAUUUUAUUGAUUAUAAAUUUAAGUUACCUUAGGGAUAACAGCGUAAUUUUUUUUGAGAGUUCUUAUCGACAAAAAAGAUUUCGACCUCGAUGUUGGAUUACGAGUAAUUUUGGGUGUAGAAGUUCAAAAUUUAAGUCUGUUCGACUUUUAAAUUCUUACAU
rnacentral:rRNA from 1 species